UACGGAGGGUGCGAGCGUUGUUCGGAAUUACUGGGUGUAAAGGGUUCGUAGGCGGUGUGGCAAGUCGGGAGUGAAAUUUCUGGGCUCAACUCAGAGACUGCUUCCGAAACUGCUGUGCUGGAGUGUGGGAGAGGCGCGUGGAAUUGCAGGUGUAGCGGUGAAAUGCGUAGAUAUCUGCAGGAACACCCGUGGCGAAAGCGGCGCGCUGGACCACUACUGACGCUGAGGAACGAAAGCUAGGGGAGCAAACAGG
rnacentral:rRNA from 1 species